rnacentral:rRNA from 1 species
AUGUGGACCAGUCUUCGUCAGCGCUAUGAGCCCUCUGGUGAUGCCUUAUACCUUUCUGUGGUCCGUCAGGAGCAUGCUCUUCAGCAGGGUGACUCUACUGUUGAUGACUUCUAUGCACAAAGUUCUGCUAUCUGGCGCCAGCUUGAUUCUCUCUGCAGUGCUGGUUGUCGUACUUGCCCCUGUUGCCAGGCUAUCCAGGCCAAUUUGGAGUUUCAUCGCGUCUACGAGUUCCUGUCUCGGCUCCGUAAGGAGUUUGAGCCCCGGCGUGCUCAGUUGUUUUCUCGUGGCCGUAUUUCUCUCAUGGAGGCGCUUUCUGAGAUUCGUGCGGAGGAGACUCGCUUACAUGGUGCUGGUUUGCUGGAGGUUCCCUCUGUGCUCGCUACUCGGUCUUCUUCCACGCCACCUGCUGCACCGACCCCUUCUCGCUCGAGUGCUCCGCCGCUCUUGCCCACUCCUUCUAGAGGCUCAGGUCGCCGUCCACAUUGCGAUUACUGCAACAAUGAUGGUCAUAUUGAGUCUCAGUGCUACACGAAGAGGAAACACCUGCGCAAGGCGCGAUCAUCAUCUUCAGGGACUUCGUCA